CAUCCCCUAGAAGAAGAGGUGGGACACCACGGCGAAGAUCUGCAUCCCCUAGAAGAAGAGAUGGGUCACCACGGCGGAGAUCUACAUCCCCUAAAAGAAGAGAUAGGUCACCUCGGCGAAGAUCUCCAUCCCCUAAAAAAAGAGAUAGGUCACCACGACGAAGAUCUCCAUCCCCUAAAAGGAGAUCCUCGCCCAAGAGGAGGGGUUCACCAAGGAGGAAAGAUUCCCCACCAAGGAAGAGGGAUUCCUCUCCAAGAAGGAGAGACUCAUCACCAAA
rnacentral:lncRNA from 1 species